rnacentral:rRNA from 1 species
UGUUUGAUGUUCUAACGUGGACCCGUAAUCCGGGUUGCGGACAGUGUCUGGUGGGUAGUUUGACUGGGGCGGUCUCCUCCUAAAGAGUAACGGAGGAGCACGAAGGUUGGCUAAUCCUGGUCGGACAUCAGGAGGUUAGUGCAAUGGCAUAAGCCAGCUUGACUGCGAGCGUGACGGCGCGAGCAGGUGCGAAAGCAGGUCAUAGUGAUCCGGUGGUUCUGAAUGGAAGGGCCAUCGCUCAACGGAUAAAAGGUACUCCGGGGAUAACAGGCUGAUACCGCCCAAGAGUUCAUAUCGACGGCGGUGUUUGGCACCUCGAUGUCGGCUCAUCACAUCCUGGGGCUGAAGUAGGUCCCAAGGGUAUGGCUGUUCGCCAUUUAAAGUGGUACGCGAGCUGGGUUUAGAACGUCGUGAGACAGUUCGGUCCCUAUCUGCCGUGGGCGCUGGAGAACUGAGGGGGGCUGCUCCUAGU